AGCAGUCGCCGCGGGAAUACGUAGGGUGCGAGCGUUAAUCGGAAUUACUGGGCGUAAAGGGCGCGUAGGCGGAUUGUUUAGUUAGGCGUGAAAUUCCUGGGCUUAACCUGGGGACUGCGCUUAAUACAGGCAGUCUAGAGUGAGGAAGAGGGUUGUGGAAUUCCCAGUGUAGAGGUGAAAUUCGUAGAUGUUGGGAAGAACACCGGUGGCGAAGGCGGCAACCUGGUCCAUGACUGGCGCUGAGGCGCGAAAGCGUGGGGAGCAAACAGGAUUAGAUACCCCUGUAGUCCCUGUCUCUUAUAC
rnacentral:rRNA from 1 species